rnacentral:lncRNA from 1 species
CCUGGCCCUGACCGAGACCUGGGCGGGGAGCCCCGGUACAUCGCAGUGGGCUAAGUGGACGACACGCAGUUCGUGCGGUUAGACAACGACGCGGCGAGUCCGAGGAUGGAGCCGCAGACGCCGUGGGUGGUGCAGGAGGGGCCGGAGUAUUGGGACGGGAGCACACGGAACAUCAAGGCCCACGCACAGACUGACAGAGUGAACCUGCGGAUGCUGCCUCACUACUACAACCAGAGCUAGGCCGACCCCCCGCUCCAAGACACAUAUGACCCACCAUUCCGUCUCUGACUAUAAGGCCACCCUGAGGUGCAGGGCCCUGG